AUCCGAGACAAGCCCAAAGAGGAGACCACAGAUAAGGACGCCAGCCUUAUUUCCUUGUUUAACCUGUAUGCAAAUCAGAAUGGUGAGCUGCUUGCUGGACAACUCCAGAAACUCCUGAAUGACAGGUUCCCUCAUGGUAAGAUGAUCAUUUGUGCUUUCAGAAUAUUUAAAAUGCUACCUCAUUUUGUAAUAAAACAAGACUAAAAAGGUUUUGUCUACCAUCCAUAGGAACCUUGUAUGGCUUUGGUUUGGAUACCUGCAGGAGUAUGAUUGCUUUGGUGGAUGUAUCCUCAAAAACUGAAUUAUAUUCCUGCUCGUUUUGUUCUACCACACCCAAACUUGCCAAAGCUGACUUUCAGUAACAGUCUGAUUAGGAAUAGCAAAGUUUCGUCUGUGAUUUCCUUAAUGUACACAGCUUGAUCAAAGGAUGACAAUGUCUUUUACUGAAUUUUUGAUUCUUUGGAACAAGAUUCAAGAAUACAAGAAACUCUUCCAUCAAUCUGAUCUUAAUCAAAGUGGAUCCUUGACUGACCUCGAGCUCCAGAGAGCAGUUGAGGCUGCAGGUUUGAACGUGAAUGACAGGACGGUGAGGCUGAUGAUGUUUCGGUAUUCACGCUUCUCUGUCACCAUGUUGGAGGAUUUCAUCACUCUCAUGUUGCGACUGGAUAAGAUGUCAAACAUUUUCAAGGACAAAUCCUCUGAUGGAACAAUGCGCUUGACCUGGGAUGAGUGGAGCAACAUCUCCAUGUACAACUAG
rnacentral:lncRNA from 1 species